UUAACGCGUUCGCGCUCUGUUGGAUGUCCGGACCACCCCUUCCCUUCUUCGGUUAUUUGGCACGAGCUGCACACAGUCAGCUGGGCUUGGGAACCAGCGGAAACGCGAAGUACGUAGAGAACUUUUCGGAUGUGACGGACCCAAAAGGAGGCCUGAACGAGCGCGAAAGAAAGAAACACGGACGUACUUUUCUGCGUGCGAAUGCGUGUUCGUUCACGGAACGAACCGCGCCAGCCAUCCGCCACCUUCGCGUCACUACGGCUUGUUCUGAGAACGACCGCAGGUGACGACCCAUCUUUUUUUGUAAACAAGUGGACAGGGCACGCAAACAAUACCAUACCAACAUAUUCGCGCACGA